rnacentral:misc_RNA from 1 species
UAAUCUCACUACAACCGUCUUUUUGUUGUUGUAUGUGGACUUGGAUGUUGCUGUGUAACAAACAGCUCAUCUGAAAUGCCUGAGUGUACCCUGCUUUGCGGCGUAUUCGGUGUGAUAAAUCUUCACCGGAGUUGACCCUCAGGUCACGUCCACUUGACAUGGCUCUAUGCUUCCAACCGUCCUGACAAGACAAUCUUUGACA